rnacentral:rRNA from 1 species
UGGGGAAUAUUGCACAAUGGGCGCAAGCCUGAUGCAGCCAUGCCGCGUGUGUGAAGAAGGCCUUCGGGUUGUAAAGCACUUUCAGCGGGGAGGAAGGCGUUAAGGUUAAUAACCUUGGCGAUUGACGUUACCCGCAGAAGAAGCACCGGCUAACUCCGUGCCAGCAGCCGCGGUAAUACGGAGGGUGCAAGCGUUAAUCGGAAUUACUGGGCGUAAAGCGCACGCAGGCGGUCUGUGAAGUCGGAUGUGAAAUCCCCGGGCUCAACCUGGGAACUGCAUUCGAAACUGGCAGGCUAGAGUCUUGUAGAGGGGGGUAGAAUUCCAGGUGUAGCGGUGAAAUGCGUAGAGAUCUGGAGGAAUACCGGUGGCGAAGGCGGCCCCCUGGACAAAGACUGACGCUCAGGUGCGAAAGCGUGGGGAGCAAACAGG